UACAGAGGUCUCAAGCGUUGUUCGGAUUCAUUGGGCGUAAAGGGUGUGUAGGUGGCGCCGUAAGUCGGGUGUGAAAUUUCGGAGCUUAACUCCGAAACUGCAUUCGAUACUGCGGUGCUUGAGGACUGGAGAGGAGACUGGAAUUCAUGGUGUAGCAGUGAAAUGCGUAGAGAUCAUGAGGAAGACCAGUGGCGAAGGCGGGUCUCUGGACAAGUUCCUGACACUGAGGCACGAAGGCCAGGGGAGCAAAACGGG
rnacentral:rRNA from 1 species